rnacentral:rRNA from 1 species
AUUGAACGCUGGCGGCAGGCUUAACACAUGCAAGUCGAGCGAGCGGCGGACGGGAGAGUAACGUCUGGGACACUGCCUGAUGGAGGGGGAAAACUACUGGAAACGGUAGUUAAAACCGCAUACCAUCAGAGGUGCCCAGAUGGGAUUAGCAAGUAGGUGGGGUAAUGGCUCCCCUAGGUGACGAUCCCUAGCUGGUCUGCGAGGAUGAUCAGCCACACUGGAACUGAGACACGGUCCAAACUCCUACAGUAGGCAGCAGUGGGGAAUAUUGCACAAUGGGCGCAAGCCUGAUGCAGCCAUGCCGCGUGUGUGAAGAAGGCCUUCGGGUUGUAAAGCACUUUCAGCGAGGAGGCGUUACUCGCAGAAGAAGCACCGACUAACUCCGUGCCAGCAGCCGCGGUAAUUC